rnacentral:rRNA from 1 species
UACGAGGGGGCGAGCGUUGUUCGGAAUUAUUGGGCGUAAAGGGUGCGUAGGCGGUUUGGUAAGUCUCGUGUGAAAUCUCCGGGCUCAACUCGGAGCCUGCACGAGAAACUGCCGGGCUGAGUGUGGGAGAGGUGAGUGGAAUUCCUGGUGUAGCGGUGAAAUGCGUAGAGAUCCGGAAGAACACCGGUGGCGAAGGCAGCCUCCUGGGUCCAUACUGACGCUCAGGCACGAAAGCGUGGGGAGCAAACAGGG